rnacentral:tRNA from 1 species
GGGCGAUUAGCUCAGGGGGAGAGCGCCACCUUGACACGGUGGAGGUCACUGGUUCGAUCCCAGUAUCGCCCA